GAGUCAGUAAUCUUAAUGGUAAAGUGUUUCCUUGUCGAGGAAAAGGAUGCCAGUUCAAAUCUGGCCUGAUUCG
rfam:Lasallia pustulata genome assembly, contig: scaffold680_size22439